rnacentral:rRNA from 1 species
CCAUGAGUAAAGUGGCGACCGGGUGAGUAACACGUGACUAACCUACCCUUGAAUGGGGAAUAACCUUCCGAAAGGAGGGCUAAUACCGCAUAAAGUCCUAAGGAUGAAACGCCUAAGGACCAAAGGAGUAAUUCGUUUAAGGAGGGGGUCGCGGUUGAUUAGCUAGUUGGCGGGGUAAUGGCCCACCAAGGCGAUGAUCAAUAGCCGGCCUGAGAGGGCGCACGGCCACACUGGAACUGAAACACGGUCCAG